GUGUGGCUUACUUCACCAACUGCCACAUUUAACAUGGAUAAUGCAGAGUUCCGUGGAAUGGGCGAAAGAUUGAAGGAUCUAUUUGAGAGAGAGUUCAAGAGUACAUUCAGCAUCCAACGUCAGCAUCCAACUGCAUCCAACUGCCAGUAGAGCCUUCAUCAAGUCUGUACUGUUAUCUCACUAUGAGACAACAGGGAAUAUUCACCAUGCCCUUGUCUUUGUAUACAGCCUUCAUACAGACUUGCAUGUACAUUAUUAUCCAUCUAGUCCUUUCAUGAAUUUCUUUCAUUCGUUCUAGCAGUCAAAAUGGGUGUGUGAUAAUAAUUGAAAUAGAAUGAUGGUGAUAACAUUGCAUUUCACACAGUAAAUGUUGCUUUGCUAACUUCUCAUGCAAGAGCCUUAGAAUUCCUCACCUUCCAGGUUUUUACUUCUGGUUAGGCCUCACUAGAUUCAUGUCCAGGGAUUCUGUCGACAAUAAACUGAUGAAUUUCUAAAACA